UCAAUCUAGGCGGCAUCAUCCGAUAAGCUAAUGGGCGAGGAGAACCACACAUACCCAAUUCUAGCUUAUUCUCAUGGCAUCCCGGGCGAGGAGAACCACACAUACCCGUUGAAUCACUGCCAGGCGAGGAGAACCACACAUACCUGCAGUUAUGAUUCGCUUGCCAUCUCUUUUACCACAAUUUCCACCGCUCCAUGUGCGACCACAUCACUAGGGAUUCCGGAAUCCACUUCAUAUCGCUCAAGGGUUGGUUUCAAACCCUAUAGUAUUGACCUAUCUAGGUCCAAUGUCCUUUUCACCCUAGGUCCAAUUGACUCUAGGUUCAACGUCUCUAUCACAUAACCUAGGUUUACUUAACUCUAGGUUCAAUCCAUAACCUAUGUCCUUUAACACUAGGUUAGAUGCCACUCAUGAUUCAUCCUAGGUUCAACAACACUAGGUUCAUUGUCAUUCAUGUCCAACCUAUGUUUUAUACACUAGGUUAGAUGCCACUCGACCUAUGUUCAAUAACACUAGGUUAGAUGCCACUCGAUCUAGUUCACAUGACUCUAGAUUCAUUCACAACCUAUGUUCUUUAACACUAGGUUAGAUGCCACUCGCUCUAAUUCACAUGACCCUAGAUUCAUUCACAACCUAUAUUCUUUAACACUAGGUUAGGUGCCACUCGAUCUACUUGACAUCCUAUUGUCAUCUCGAGUCUACAUGUACACGAAUCUUAUCCAACAUGCUCAUUAUACACAUAUGUAUUAAUAUGCAUUCACUUACUAGCAUGGUUUCUUAUCAUAUUAACAUGCA
rnacentral:lncRNA from 1 species